GAUGAACGCUGGCGGCGUGCCUAAUACAUGCAAGUCGAGCGAAUGGAUUGAGAGCUUGCUCUCAAGAAGUUAGCGGCGGACGGGUGAGUAACACGUGGGUAACCUGCCCAUAAGACUGGGAUAGCUCCGGGAAACCGGGGCUAAUACCGGAUAACAUUUUGAACCGCAUGGUUCGAAAUUGAAAGGCGGCUUCGGCUGUCACUUAUGGAUGGACCCGCGUCGCAUUAGCUAGUUGGUGAGGUAACGGCUCACCAAGGCAACGAUGCGUAGCCGACCUGAGAGGGUGAUCGGCCACACUGGGACUGAGACACGGCCCAGACUCCUACGGGAGGCAGCAGUAGGGAAUCUUCCGCAAUGGACGAAAGUCUGACGGAGCAACGCCGCGUGAGUGAUGAAGGCUUUCGGGUCGUAAAACUCCGUUGUUAGGGAAGAACAAGUGCUAGUUGAAUAAGCUGGCACCUUGACGGUACCUAACCAGAAAGCCACGGCUAACUACGUGCCAGCAGCCGCGGUAA
rnacentral:rRNA from 1 species